rnacentral:rRNA from 1 species
CCCUUAGAUGUUCUGGGCCGCACGCGUGCUACACUGAGUGGAUCAGCGGGUCAGGUUGCGCGAAAGUGUUUCCUAAUCUUUAAAUCCGCUCGUGAUGGGGAUUGACGGUUGCAAUUUUCCGUCAUGAACGAGGAAUACCUUGUAAGCGCGGGUCAUCAUCCCGCGCUGAAUACGUCCCUGCCCUUUGUACACACCGCCCGUCGCUCCUACCGAUUGAGUGGUCCGGUGAGGCUUUGGGAUCUGAGCGGAAAGAGCGUUUCGCUGUUUCUGCCCGGAAAACUCAGUCGAACCUUAUCGUUUAGAGGAAGGAGAAGUCGUAACA